UGGGGAAUAUUGCACAAUGGGGGAAACCCUGAUGCAGCAACGCCGCGUGAGUGAUGACGGUCUUCGGAUUGUAAAGCUCUGUCUUCAGGGACGAUAAUGACGGUACCUGAGGAGGAAGCCACGGCUAACUACGUGCCAGCAGCCGCGGUAAUACGUAGGUGGCAAGCGUUGUCCGGAUUUACUGGGCGUAAAGGGAGCGUAGGUGGAUAUUUACGUGGGAUGUGAAAUACUCGGGCUUAACCUGGGUGCUGCAUUCCAAACUGGAUAUCUAGAGUGCAGGAGAGGAAAGUUGGAUUCCUAGUGUAUCGGUGAAAUGCGUAGAGAUUAGGAAGAAUACCAGUGGCGAAGGCGACUUUCUGGACUGUAACUGACACUGAGGCUCGAAAGCGUGGGGAGCAAACA
rnacentral:rRNA from 1 species